AUGGACCAAGCACGGUAAAUAGCAUUUGGGGAAAGUAAGGUGUUAUGUUAUUUGAAGGGAAUCAGAGACAAGGCAGACAUAAACAUGCAAGAAGAGAGAGAGUUGAUGAGGAAAAGAAAGGAAAGGUGAAGAGAAUCAAUCAGCAGCAAUGGGGUGAGUGGGAAAAAAAGGGUUUGAUCGGAUGCAAGUAGACAGCAAUCCAGGUCAAAGACAAACCUAGACUGGUGACGAGCAUACCGAGAUAGCAUGUGAUGGCAAGAAACCCCGAGAGUGUUGUUGGAAGACGGACCGCUGGUAGGAAAGGAAAUGAUGGGUCAUGUUUAAAGGGUUGGGGAGAAAAUUGGGCAAAGGAUUGUUUUGAUAAGAAAUAUUUUGGAAGGAAAAUGAGAUUUUUCAUAGCGAUGUUUUUGGAGUUGUGACAGUUUCCAAUGAUUUUCGUGCCAUUUAUUUACAUUUUACACCCAGGCUGCACACACACACACACACACACACACACCACACCAUGCUAAAGGAACAAAUAAGGAAAAUUAGCGCGGCCGUUAAGCUUCGUUGUAUGACAGUUUGCAGAGGGUGGGUGGGACAAGCAGAUUGAAUUGUGAAUGGAUGGAUCGAGAAGGAACCAGUUGAAAAGGGAAAUAGUGGAAAUGUAGGGAGAAAGGCAUAGGGGAGAUUUGGCUUGUUGAGUACGAAUUCGGAUGGAGAAAUGGCAAUGCUGUAGGAGCCAAAAGGAUCGUCAACAGAGAGGUGACAUGCUACUCGGAGGAGAAGAGUGUAGAUUUACAGUAGGAGAGAAGCGGGAGGAGGGAGAAUAGAAGAAGAAGAGAGGAGAAUUAGUAAUUGGGGGAUUUAGUGUGUUUAUUUCGAUUGAGAUGAAUGUUUAGUGGGAUGAAGAAAGUAAUGAAAGGAUGGAUGAAAAAAAAAGAAGCCUGUGAUCAAUAGUAUUGUAUUUGAUCGAAAUUCAAACAAGAUUUCCAAACAUUACUCU